AUUGAACGCUGGCGGCAGGCCUAACACAUGCAAGUCGAGCGAGCGGCGGACGGGUGAGUAUGUCUGGGAAACUGGCUGGAGGGGGGGGGAUAAUACUGGGAACGGGAGGUAAAAACGGAAUCCAUCAGGAGUGGCCCGAUGGGGUUAGGUAGUUGGGGGGGUAACGGCGUACCUAGGCGACGAUCCCUAGCUGGUCUGAGAGGAUGACCAGCCACACUGGAACUGAGACACGGUCCAGACUCCUACGGGAGGCAGCAGUGGGGAAUAUUGCACAAUGGGCGCAAGCCUGAUGCAGCCAUGCCGCGUGUGUGAAGAAGGCCUUCGGGUUGUAAAGCACUUUCAGCGGGGAGGCGUUACCCGCAGAAGAAGCACCGGCUAACUCCGUGCCAGCCGCCGCGGUAAUAC
rnacentral:rRNA from 1 species